UAACGAGAGCGGCUGGGUUUCAGAAGCUGCUGAGGAGCCACUGAUGCCAAGCAGAGCCCAAUUUACAAUCACUGAGCCAAGUUUUUCUUUAUAACUGCAAACCCUGAGAAAUCUCAAUGGGAAAAGAAAUCUGGAUGUUUCAAAACGUACUUCUUUUCAUUCUGCAUGUAUGGCAUGGAUUGAAUAGCAGUCAUCCAGAAAGCAGAAAUACCAGUGUCAGAGUCAGAACGCUUAUACAGGGUAGAGAUUUGCUGUUCCAUUUCACUCUUCUAUCCUGGUGUGACUUUGUGACCUCAAGAAAUCCCUUUCUAUCAUGAAAGCUGUCUCCAAGAAUUGGCACCUUUGUGAUUACAUCUCAUUUCUGGUGCUGGAGAGCUGCAUCCAGGAGCUCAAGCUGUGAAGUGGUGAACAAAGCCCUCUGCUAUGUUGUGCUUCUUCACAUAGAUGAAAAUGGACACAAAGAAGCUGGAUUGUGUCUUAAGGUGAAGAAAGAUGCAGCAGCAACUUUGUGAUGGUGCUCCUGGAGAGCAGCGCGGUGCAGCUGGGCUGUGGGGACCACCAGCAUCCCUGCCUCUGCAUCACCCCAUCCAGCACUGGGAAGCACUUCUGUAGGCGUGGAGGUUUCCAUCUUCCAGGCUGUUUGGGCAUGGAGUGCUCCAACAAGGUCACUGACUUGCCCUGUUAUUCUGAAGGUCUCCAUAUCCAUGUGACAUGUGCAUUCCAUGUGAACUAUCUACAGACAUUAGAGAUUUACACUUUUUGUAGACCUUUGAGGAUGCAAAUCCUACAAGUUGCACUUUAAAGAUCUUCUGCUUGGCGUCACAGCCCCAUCCGUGCCAUCUGGAGGAGCGGAGCAGCCCCGAGCUGGCUGAUGGAGACAAGCUGAAACCAGACGUAUAUCUGUGGAGAUCUAUUCUUCUGAAGCACGGACAGAUUUCCUGAGCGCCACCAUUCCAAAGGCAGGCACAGGGAUGCAGCACCAGGCACCAAAGCAUUGUCCAGCCCAUCAGCACAAAGUGACAUGAGAGGGUGUCUGGACUAAAGUAUAGGCAAGAGAAGCUAAACUAAGCCCUACUAAGCAGAGCAACGUCCCAGUCCUGCAAGAAGCUGGUGCUGAAGUGCAAAAGGGUCUGCAAAAACUGAAGACAAAGGAAGCCUCAAAAUAGUGAAACUUCAGAUGAGAAAUUCUUGUGUGUGAGUUCUGGUUUGUUUGUUUGUUUGUUUGUUUUUAAUAUUCCCUACAACCUCUUUAUCUCUUUUACAUUUGAAUGAACUAAAGAAACCAAAAUCUGAGGAAACUGGCUGUGGCAAAAAGCAGAGCCAAGGCCAGGUUUCCAGGGGAUGAGUAAGAAAGAAACCUACAGCAAGUAACCAAAACCAAAACCCAGCCUCGAGCUGUUAUCAUCAAGUUAUCUUGAGUAAACUAUGUAUUGUGUAUUUCCUGAAGAGCAUGACCAAAAUUCAUUGAGACCAUUGCUCUCUCAGUAGGUUAUGGCGAAAUGCCCAACUAAUGUUGUAUGCCUCCUUUUUGAUUCAUAGCCAAAAGGAUUUGUUGGUUUGUUUUCACUCAUUCCUUACUCAUGAAAAAGAAGUGAGCUUAAUGGGUUUUGCAAUUCAUUUUUCAUUUGUUCGGGAGCACUUCCUCCAUCCAAACCAUAGACAGAUUGUUUCCCAGCAUAGAAAAAUCUGUACUGAUGUGGCUGAGAUUUAGCCACCUCAUUUGCUCUACCAGGAGCGCUCUGAACUUCUGCAGGGCACAGUGAGUUUCUGGUGGCAGCACCAAACUUGACUUAUUCCAAAAAACUUCCCCAAAUUGUAAAGUAUCACUGAAAAGAAAGAAAACACAAUUGUCUUCAACCACUAUGGCUGCCCUAAUUUGAAUCACAUGGGAAAGCGCUUUGUUAAUGGCUUUGUUCUUUUACUCCUUGUUGGCAAUACAACAAAACAAAACGCC
rnacentral:lncRNA from 7 species